rnacentral:rRNA from 1 species
GGGAGUGGAUUAGCAUGCUAACGGAGGGCAGUUUGGCUGCCCGCGAAUACUCAGUAACACGUGGUCAAUCUCCCCUUGGGACGGGAAUAACCCCGGGAAACUGGGGAUAAUACUCGACAGACGGGGGUUCUGGAAAGUCCCUCGUCGAAACGCUCUGGCGCCCAAGGAUGUGACUGCGGCCUAUUAGGUAGUUGGUGAGGUAAAGGCUCACCAAGCCGAAGAUGGGUACGGGCCCUGAGAGGGGGAGCCCGGAGAUGGAGACUGAGACAAGGCUCCAGGCCCUACGGGGCGCAGCAGGUGCGAAAAUUUCGCAAUGCGUGCAAGCGUGACGAAGCGACUCCCAGUGCCGAUGGUCUAACGACCGUCGGCUUUUCUGGAGCGUAAAAAGCUUCAGGUAAUAAGGGCCGGGUAAGACUGGUGCCAGCCGCCGCGGUAACACCAGCGGCUCAAGUGGUAACCGAUUUUAUUGGGCCUAAAGCGUCCGUAGCCGGAUUGGCAAGUCCCUUGUGAAAUCGGACGGCUUAACCGUUCGGCGUGCAAGGGAAACUGUUAAUCUUGGGGUUGGCAGGCGUCAAGGGUACUCCAGGGGUAGCGGUGAAAUGCUAUAAUCCCUGGGGGACCGCCAGUGGCGAAAGCGCUUGGCGAGACCAAACCCGACGGUGAGGGACGAAGGCCAGGGGAGCAAACCGGAUUAGAUACCCGGGUAGUCCUGGCUGUAAAGGAUGUGGGCUAGGUGCCUGGUGUUCCUCGAGAACGUUAGGUGCCGAAGGGAAGCCGUUAAGCUCACCGCCUGGGAAGUACGGCCGCAAGGCUGAAACUUAAAGAAAUUGGCGGGGGAGCACCACAGGGGUGGAGCCUGCGUUUAUUGGAUUCACGCCGGACAUCUCACCGGGGGCGACGGCAAGAUGGAAGGCCAGGUUGACAACCUUGCCGACUCCCGAGAGGUGGUGCAUGGCCGCCGUCAACUCCUAUUGUAAAAUGUCUGUUCAUUCAGGUUACA